GGACCGCGGAGCCAAUCGCAGGGCCGGCGGAGCCUCGGGGCGGGGCCAGCGCUCUGGAAACCCCAAGUUACCAGCCCCAGAGCAGAGAGAGAAGGAGAGAGAGAAUCCCAAGCAGGCUCUGCGCUGUCAACACAAAGUCCGAUGCGGGGCUCGAACCCACGAACCGUGAAAUCGUGACCUGAGCUGACGUCAGACGCUCAACCGACUGAGCCACCCAGGUGCUCUGAUUCAUCCAUUUUAGACACUGUCUGUGGACUUCCUAGCAACACAGGCAAGGAGUUAGGUCUUUAACACCCCCCACCCAUUCCAUUCUUGGGGUUCAGUUUUGUCACUCUUGCCCCAUGAUUGAUAGUGGUUGCAGAAUUGUGACUAGGUAAGCAUUGUUCACCGCAGAGCUUACUCAUGUAGUCCGAUGGCACUCGUUUCUGUCCCCUGACCCCCCGGGGUUUAAUUUCUUCUCCUUCUCUUUCUGUGCUGCCCGCCACGAUCACUCCUCCACUCCGCUCCAGUGCUCCGGCAUGACAGUUAGUGCCGUUUCCCUUGGCUACCUCCUUGACCUGUCGUACGCUGCUGUCCUGGAACCUUCCUUCGCUGCUUCCUGGGCUGGGCUUUUCCUGGCUCCCUUCUCUUCUUGCUUUCUUUACUGUCUCUCUUAAUCUGCAGUUAAGAAUCCCUUUCUAAUAUUAAAAAAUAGAAUGGUCUUCGGACCUGCCCGUGAUCGUAGGUAUCCUUUCGAUAUCUAUUAAUUGGGACCAAAAAUACAGAAAGACCAAAAGUUACUAUGAAGGCACUCCUGCUCUUAAGUGAAUUUGUGUUUUACUCACAAUAGCAUCUAUGAACGUGUGAAAGCCUGUUCAAAGUUUAGGCUUAGGGUUAGUUCAAUCUAGCCUCAAUGUCUGGUCUUCCAUUUGUCACCUCGCCCCCUCAACUUGCCGUGAGACAACCCCCUCUCUUGACUUUCUAUUCAGUUCCUGUGCCCUAGCAGAGACUUAAGUACUGGUUUAAGGCCCACCUUGCAGGUGCACGUGACCAUGGCUGGCCAAUCAGGGUCUCUUCCUGCCAGAUACAGGGUCCAAGCAGACCAAUCAGAGGCUUUUUGAAGACUGGCUUUCCUUUAUGAGGCUUGCUCAACCUCAGUGGAGAGUUGGAGUUACUAACGACUAUCUUUGCAGUCUUGGGGCAUCCAUCCUGAAGGCUGAAGCCAUCAUGGAGGAAAGCACAACUGAGGGAUAGUUGGGGAGAGAAUGACGUUUGAGCGCUAGAUGCGGCCAGCUUGAAGAUCUUAGGCUUCCCGGUUAUGUGAGCCGAUACACCGUAUGACAUUUUUGGCUUAAGCAUAUUUUAGUUGGAUUUCUUUCACUUGGAGCAUAAAGAGCGGCGACUGAUAUCCUGUCUUUGUGAACUUGGGCAGGUUAUACAAGCGGUGCGUACAGACUUGGACCGUGACAACGCAGCUCCCGCUAGGUCCCCUAUGGCUGCCCUGUUAUCAGCCUGAGCCUGAGACAGCUUGACAUUGAAUAGUCCGUUUUAGGGACUGGAGGAAACGACUUACCGUGAGUCACUGCCCUAAAAUAUGCUUUCUACCCACAUGCCCGGUGCCUGGAAUUCUGUGGUGAUGGUGGCAUUCCUCAGGGUUAACCAUGGCUCUCUUCAAACGGUUCUCCUUUGGAGUGUGAAGUCUGCGAUAUUUAACUUGUAGAAGUCCUUUCUUCUGGAGGUCCCUCUGGCAGGCAGUGGAUCCAGGAUGCGGUGUAGACAGACCUAGUGUGGCGCCAGGCCGCUCUCUGCCGCUGCCCUGCCCUGGAAACACACGCAGCCUAAGCACCAUUCCUGCCUCUGCUCUGGGCCUCGGGACUUUUCUUCUUCUUGAAUGAGUGUGCUCCCGCCCCCCAGCUGGUGCUCCACGCCAUCCCCCAGGUCUCAACAACAUACCCCCACCAGGACCACAGGAGCCAGAGCUGGUCGUGCCUGGUGGUCCUCAGGACUGAGAGGCCCUGACCUCCGUGGGGGCAGGAGCCGGCCAGCAUGACCAGUCGGGACUCCCAGGUUAAGAAUCCAGUUGAGCCUCCUGGUCCUCCUCAAUCUGCUCUGCCCUUCGUCUCCCACCCCCAAAUCCCUGCCGACCUCCAGCCCUGAAGAAGCCGGAGAACCUCUGCUUCCCCCACCUCCCCGUCCGCCUUGUCCUACUUCAGUAGUUUGGCUCCUCCGAGCCCUCUUCUUGAUUCAACCUUGCUUGGCCUGUGAAGACUUGAACAAACACGGACGUGGUUGCUGGCAGCUCGUGGCCGCAUCCCUAGUAGGACCCUAGCCUCCCUUAAAGUGCCUGCCUGCCAAACUCCCGGCUGUCUAAAGGAUUGGCUGCUGAGUCCAGCCAACGCCUGAAGAUCGGGCCCCUGUCUCCCAGCUUCUGUGAGAGGGCAGGAGCUUAACUUUGAGAAGUGUCAGCAAAGCCAGAUGGGUCUCAUAUGGGCCAGCGUCCCUUCCUGCUUUUUGUCAUCUUUCACUUCUGAUUAUAGAGCCCCCCACUCAUUCCCUUCCCUAGUCCCUCAUUCUCCCUGUGAAAUACCCCAUCACCUCUGUAAUAAUCCCAGUCGGGUGCCUGCUCACGAUGAACCCUUUCCCCUACGGCACUGCAAUACUAUGUUACUGACUGAAAUCUGUCUGGAUUACUUUAAGUAGUGUCUGCUUUUGUUUAUUUUCAUCAGGGGAGGUGUGCAGGAUCAGCCUUUUAAUUUUUUUUUUUUUAAUAUUUAUUUUUGAGAGAGAGGCAGGGUGCAAGCAGGGGGGUGGGGGAGGGGCAGAGAGCGAGUUAGACACAGACUCCAAAGCGGGCUCCAGGCUCCGCGCUGUCAGCACAGAGCCCGACGUGGGGCUCAAACCCAAGAACCGUGAGAUCAUGACCUGAGCCGAAGUCGGUCGCUCAACUGACUGAACCACCCAGGUGCCCCAACAGCCUUUGAAAUUAAAUUAUUUUCAGGAUCAGCUUUUUAAGUAAGCAUCCCAGGGAUGUUUGCGUAUAGAGGUCCAAAGGCUGUAUUUUGAGAAAUCGUGUUUCCCUGUGGAGAUCUUUUCUCUGGCAGCCCUUUUGAAUGGGGGCUAUGUUUUCUCAGAUACUGCAUUGCCAAUAGUCCAUCCAGCUUUAAUUCCAGUGAGAACGUUCCGGAGAUGAAACUAAGAAUCAACUCCAGGCGCUUCUCCAGUCACCUCUGGGGAUGAGUGUAUGUCGUCAGCAUCCAGCGCCUCACCUGCUGCCCAGCUAGAAUGACACCUUUCAGGGUUUCUGACUUAGAAACACGACCACCAGGUUACUCCACGUGGACACCACCCCCCUUUUACAAAGCCUUUGAACACCCACCCAUCAGGAGGGGUUUGCUGGAUAAUGUUGGUUGGCUCUUGACACCCAUUUCUAGCCCCUUCUUUGCAGGUCCUGGAAACCCACGAACCAUCGUUCACAGAUUCCCUCGACAGCAGAAUUCUGCCGAUAAAGCGUACCUGUGUGAAAUUUGGAAGGCGGAGGUGGAAGGAGGUGGAAGCCAUGCUUUUCUCCUCUGUAGCAGCAGACAUGCAGGCUGAAUGUUGGAGUCCAUACUCCCCACCAGUCAGGCUUGGGGCCAUGGGGCUGUAGUGACCCCGGCAGUGGCUUCCCGAAGUUUCCUGACCGAGUGGCAGCAGCAACUUUGAAUCUAUGGAAAGCAACUGUGGUAAAGUAACCUGAGAGCUAGUGGUGCGAUUCCCCCCUGGCCCUGACCUUCACCACCGCGAGCCCCACCAGUGGUGAGCACCAAUUGCUUGUAUGACCUUUGUGUGUGUGUGUGUGUGUGUUAUCUAGAAUGGUUUGUUUUCCUGGCUAUGGUAGUUUUAAAAUAUGUUCACAAAACUGAGGGUUGAUGGGGGGUGGGAGGGAGGGGAGGG